CCUACGGGAGGCAGCAGUGAGGAAUAUUGGUCAAUGGGCGUAAGCCUGAACCAGCCAAGUCGCGUGAGGGAUGAAGGUUCUAUGGAUCGUAAACCUCUUUUAUAAGGGAAUAAAGUGCGGGACGUGUCCCGUUUUGUAUGUACCUUAUGAAUAAGGAUCGGCUAACUCCGUGCCAGCAGCCGCGGUAAAAGGGAGGAUCCGGGCGUUAUCCGGAUUUCUGGGGUUUAAGGGUGGGGUAGCCGGCCGUUUAAGUCGGCGGUGAAAGUCUGUGGCCCAAGGAUAGAAUUGCCGUUGAAACUGGGAGGCUGGAUUAUGUUUGAGGCAGGCGGAAUGCGUGGUGUAGCGGUGAAAUGCUUAGAUAUCACGCAGAACCCCGAUUGCGAAGGCAGCCUGCGAAGCCAUGACUGACGCUGAUGCACGAAAGCGUGGGGAUCAAACAGGAUUAGAUACCCGAGUAGUC
rnacentral:rRNA from 1 species